AUGAGAUUAUUCUUGGGUGAGGGAGCAAGCUUGGAAUGUGCGGUUUCAGGAAAAUAUAUCGAAACUUGUUGUGUUUCUAUGGCUUUUCUCAAGUGCAUGAAGCACCUACUUGAAGAAAUAUGCCAAGAAAUGCACCCAUUGGCAUCACGGGGGACGCCGGUGUACCAGGGCACAUGUUUCUUCUCAGGGCAUCACAUAGAUAUCCAAUGGUUCCUUGGCAAUACCGGGUUUCCGGGGCCAUCAGUUGUUCAUCCAAGACAUCGACAUCAUUUUGUCAGGAGUUGCAGUGGUGCUGUCAUACUGAAAGGCCAACAACCCCACGCUAGCAGCCCUAUUACUCUCCACAAAACUGGUGUCGAUAUUUAUCUUGAUAGAAUCCUACGGGGAGGAAAGAAACGUAGCUUUUGA
rnacentral:rRNA from 1 species